rnacentral:tRNA from 1 species
GCCUGGGUGGCUCAGUGGUUGAGCAUCUGCCUUUAGCUCAGGGCAUGAUCCUGUGGUCCCGGGUUGGAGUCCCAGGUCAGGCU